AUUGAACGCUGGCGGCAUGCCUUACACAUGCAAGUCGAACGGCAGCGCGGGCUUCGGCCUGGCGUCGAGUGGCGAACGGGUGAGUAAUGCAUCGGAACGUGCCCGGUAGUGGGGGAUAGCGCGGCGAAAGCCGGAUUAAUACCGCAUACGACCUGAGGGUGAAAGCGGGGGACCGAAGGGCCUCGCGCUAUCGGAGCGGCCGAUGUCGGAUUAGCUAGUUGGUGGGGUAAAGGCUUACCAAGGCGACGAUCCGUAGCUGGUCUGAGAGGACGACCAGCCACACUGGGACUGAGACACGGCCCAGACUCCUACGGGAGGCAGCAGUGGGGAAUUUUGGACAAUGGGGGCAACCCUGAUCCAGCCAUGCCGCGUGUGGGAAGAAGGCCUUCGGGUUGUAAACCGCUUUUGUUCGGGAAGAAAUCCUCUGGGCUAAUACCCCGGGGGGAUGACGGUACCGGAAGAAUAAGCACCGGCUAACUACGUG
rnacentral:rRNA from 1 species